rnacentral:rRNA from 1 species
CCUACGGGAGGCAGCAGUGAGGAAUAUUGGUCAAUGGGCGGGAGCCUGAACCAGCCAAGUCGCGUGAGGGAAGACGGUCCUAUGGAUUGUAAACCUCUUUUGGCGGGGAGCAAUGCCGGGCACGCGUGCCCGGAGGGAGAGUACCCGCAGAAUAAGCAUCGGCUAACUCCGUGCCAGCAGCCGCGGUAAUACGGAGGAUGCGAGCGGUCUCCGGAUUUAGUGGGUUUAAAGGGUGCGUAGGCGGAUUUUUAAGUCAGCGGUAAAAUGUCCGGGCUCAACCCGGGCCGGCCGUUGAAACUGGGGAUCUUGAGUUGGCGAGAAGUAUGCGGAAUGCGUGGUGUAGCGGUGAAAUGCAUAGAUAUCACGCAGAACUCCGAUUGCGAAGGCAGCAUACCGGCGCCCGACUGACGCUGAGGCACGAAAGCGUGGGGAUCGAACAGGAUUAGAUACCCGGGUAGUC